rnacentral:rRNA from 1 species
UGGGGAAUAUUGGACAAUGGGCGCAAGCCUGAUCCAGCAAUGCCGCGUGUGUGAAGAAGGCCUGCGGGUUGUAAAGCACUUUCAGUGGGGAAGAAACGCCUGGGGUGAAUAGCCUCGGGUUUUGACGUUACCCACAGAAGAAGCACCGGCUAACUCCGUGCCAGCAGCCGCGGUAAUACGGAGGGUGCGAGCGUUAAUCGGAAUCACUGGGCGUAAAGCGCACGUAGGCGGCCCAGUCAGUCAGAUGUGAAAGCCCCGGGCUCAACCUGGGAAUGGCAUUUGAUACUGCUGAGCUUGAGUCUGAUAGAGGGGGGUGGAAUUCCAGGUGUAGCGGUGAAAUGCGUAGAGAUCUGGAGGAACACCAGUGGCGAAGGCGGCCCCCUGGAUCAAGACUGACGCUGAGGUGCGAAAGCGUGGGGAGCAAACAGGAUUAGAUACCCGUGUAGUCC